AUGUCUACCACCUCCGCCGCCAUGUCGCCCAGCACCAUGGGCGCGAUCACCACCACCUCCUCCUCCACCUUUGCCUCCUCAUCUACAGCCACCCAUACCUUCCAUGGAUCGCCACCACGGGAGAAGCUGACAAGGGGGAACUCACUGCUAUGGAAGGUCAUCGUGCUGCCACAGAUCAAGGGUGCUCAGAUGGAGCACUACCUCGACGAGAAGAGCCCGCCACCGCCGACCACUCUCACCAUCACCAAGGACAGCAAAGAAGAGCAAUUCAUCAACUUUGCACGAACUCUCUGGUAUGCAUAG
rnacentral:rRNA from 1 species